GGAUAGGCUCGCGUGACAUUAGCUAGACGGCGGGGUAACGGCCCACCGUGGCGACGAUGUCUAGGGGUUCUGAGAGGAAGGUCCCCCACACUGGAACUGAGACACGGUCCAGACUCCUACGGGAGGCAGCAGUGAGGAAUAUUGGUCAAUGGGCGCGAGCCUGAGCCAGCCAAGUCGCGUGAGGGAUGACGGCCCUACGGGUUGUAAACCUCUUUUGUCGGGGAGCAAAUUCCGCCACGUGUGGCGGAGUCGAGAGUACCCGAAGAAAAAGCAUCGGCUAACUCCGUGCCAGCAGCCGCGGUAAUACGGAGGAUGCGAGCGUUAUCCGGAUUUAUUGGGUUUAAAGGGUGCGUAGGCGGACUGUCAAGUCAGCGGUAAAAUACGGGGGCUCAACCUCCGCCCGCCGUUGAAACUGACGGUCUUGAGUGGGCGAGAAGUAUGCGGAAUGCGUGGUGUAGCGGUGAAAUGCAUAGAUAUCACGCAGAACUCCGAUUGCGAAGGCAGCAUACCGGCGCCCGACUGACGCUGAAGCACGAAAGCGUGGGUAUCGAACAGGAUUAGAUACCCUGGUAGUCCACGCAGUAAACGAUGAAUACUAGCUGUCCGGGGCGAAUGAGCCCUGNGUGGCACAGCGAAAGCGUUA
rnacentral:rRNA from 1 species